UACGUAGGAGGCAAGCGUUAUCCGGAAUUACUGGGCGUAAAGUGGGCGUAGGUGGCCCUCCGGGUCGGAUGUGAAAUUUCCCGGCUUAACUGGGAAGGGUCAUCCGAAACUAGGGGGCUGGAGUGCAGCAGGGGGAAACGGAAUUCCCGGUGUAGUGGUGAAAUGCGUAGAUAUCGGGAGGAACACCAGAGGCGAAGGCGGUUUCCCAGGCUGUUACUGACACUGAGGCCCGAAAGCGUGGGGAG
rnacentral:rRNA from 1 species